rnacentral:misc_RNA from 1 species
AAUACUCAAUUUCAAUCAUUUUGUUUGAAAUUGGAUAUGGAUGUUGUUGUGGUAACACAACUCGUCCUAAAUGCAUUAGCGAUCUGGCCUCGAUCACGUACAGUGUGAUAAGAAAAAAAGCAUUGUCGGUUCGAGUCAAAAAGUCGCUCCUAACUGUCGAAAGACAAAUCAUUUAUGUCAU